rnacentral:rRNA from 1 species
UACGUAGGGAGCAAGCGUUGUCCGGAAUUAUUGGGCGUAAAGAGCUCGUAGGCGGUCUGUCGCGUCGGCUGUGAAAACUUGGGGCUCAACCCCAAGCCUGCAGUCGAUACGGGCAGACUAGAGUCCGGCAGGGGAGACUGGAAUUCCUGGUGUAGCGGUGAAAUGCGCAGAUAUCAGGAGGAACACCGGGUGGCGAAGGCGGGGUCUCUGGGGCCGGAAACUGACGCUGAGGGAGCGAAAGCCGUGGGGAGCGAACAGG